ensembl:lncRNA
CUUUCCGUUCUUUCCGUUCUUUCCGUUCUUUCCGUUCUUUCCGUUCUUUCCGUUCUUUCCGUUCUUUCCGUUCUUUCCGUUCUUUCCGUUCUUUCCGUUCUUUCCGUUCUUUCCGUUGUUGUUUUUGAACUGUCACCUAAUUUUCUGCUCUAUGUUUCUGUCUCUGUGGAGGUUCUUUCCGUUCUUUCCGUUCUUUCUGUUGUUGCUUUUAAACUGUCACCUAAUUUUCUGCCCUAUGUUUCUGUCUCUGUGGAGGUUCUUUCCGUUCUUUCCGUUCUUUCUGUUGUUGUUUUUGAACUGUCACCUAAUUUUCUGCCCUAUGUUUCUGUCUCUGUGGAGGUUCUUUCCGUUCUUUCCGUUCUUUCUGUUGUUGCUUUUAAACUGUCACCUAAUUUUCUGCCCUAUGUUUCUGUCUCUGUGGAGGUUCUUUCCGUUCUUUCCGUUCUUUCCGUUCUUUCCGUUCUUUCCGUUCUUUCCGUUCUUUCCGUUCUUUCCGUUCUUUCCGUUCUUUCCGUUCUUUCCGUUCUUUUUGAACUGUCACCUAAUUUUCUGCCCUAUGUUUCUCUCUCUGUGGAGGUUCUUUCCGUUCUUUCCGUUGUUUCCGUUGUUGGUCUUGACAUGUCACCUAAUUUUCUGCCCUAUGUUUCUGUCUCUGUGGAGGUUCUUUCCGUUCUUUCCGUUGUUUCCGUUGUUGGUCUUGACAUGUCACCUAAUUUUCUGCCCUAUGUUUCUGUCUCUGUGGAGGUUCUUUCCGUUCUUUCCGUUCGUUCUGUUGUUGUUUUUGAACUGUCACCUAAUUUUCUGCCCUAUGUUUCUGUCUCUGUGGAGGUUCUUUCCGUUCUUUCCGUUCUUUUUGUUGUUUUUGAACUGUCACCUAAUUUUCUGCCCUAUGUUUCUGUCUCUGUUGAGGUUCUUUCCGUUCUUUCCGUUCUUUCCGUUCUUUCCGUUCUUUCUGUUGUUGUUUUUGAACUGUCACCUAAUUUUCUGCCCUAUGUUUCUGUCUCUGUGGAGGUUCUUUCCGUUCUUUCCGUUCUUUCCGUUCUUUUUGUUGUUUUUGAACUGUCACCUAAUUUUCUGCCCUAUGUUUCUGUCUCUGUUGAGGUUCUUUCCGUUCUUUCCGUUCUUUCCGUUCUUUCCGUUCUUUCCGUUCUUUCCGUUCUUUCCGUUCUUUCCGUUCUUUCCGUUCUUUCCGUUCUUUCCGUUCUUUCCGUUCUUUCCGUUCUUUCCGUUCUUUCCGUUCUUUCCGUUGUUGUUCUUGACCUGUCACCUAAUUUUCUGCCAUAUGUUUCUGUCUUUCAGAGAUUAUUUCCGUUAUUUCCAUUAUUUCAGUCAUUUCCUUUGCUGUUCUAGACCUGUCAUUUAAUUUUCUGCCUUAUGCUUCUGUCUCUGCGAAGGUUAUUUCCGUUAUUACCGUUAUUGUUUUCUGUUAUUUCUGUUAUUUCCAUUAUUUCCGUUAUUUCCGUUGUUGUUCUUGACCUGUCACCUAAUUUUUUGCCGUAUGUUUCUGUCUCUGUCGAGGUUCUUUCCGUUCUUUCAGUUGUUAUUCUUGACCUGUCACCUAAUUUCC